GAUGAAGAACGUAGCGAAAUGCGAUAAGUAAUGUGAAUUGCAGAAUUCAGUGAAUCAUCGAAUCUUUGAACGCACAUUGCGCCCCUUGGUAUUCCGAGGGGCAUGCCUGUUCGAGCGUCAUUAUAACCCCUCAAGCUCAGCUUGGUGUUGGGGCCUGCCGCACGGGCAGCCCUUAAAAUCAGUGGCGGUGCCAUCUGGCUCUAAGCGUAGUAAUUCUUCUCGCUAUAGAGUCCCGGUGGAUGCUUGCCAUUAACCCCCAAUUUUCUAUGGUUGACCUCGGAUCAGGUAGGGAUACCCGCUGAACUUAAGCAUAUCAAUAAGCGGAGGG
rnacentral:misc_RNA from 1 species